AAUCCGUGUUGUGGGCAUUUGCGAAGGAGCUCCUUGAACCUUUCCCACGUCUCAAAUAGAGACUCUAAUUCCGAAUAUACAAAGGAUGAGAUCUCAUUAAUAAGCUU